CCCAAGACUGGUUGCCCACUGACGCUAAGCAGGGUUGAGCCCGGUCAGUACCUGGCUGGGAGACCUCCUGGGAAAUCUAAGUUGCUUUUGGAA
rnacentral:rRNA from 1 species